rnacentral:rRNA from 1 species
UACGUAGGUGGCAAGCGUUGUCCGGAUUUAUUGGGUUUAAAGGGUGCGUAGGCGGCCUUAUAAGUCAGUGCUGAAAUAUCCCGGCUUAACCGGGAGGGUGGCAUUGAUACUGUAGGGCUUGAGUAAAGUUGAGGUAGGCGGAAUUGACGGUGUAGCGGUGAAAUGCUUAGAUAUCGUCAAGAACACCGAUAGUGUAGACAGCUUACUAAGCUUUAACUGACGCUGAGGCACGAAAGUGUGGGGAUCAAACAGG